GACGUAGGGCGCGAGCGUUGUCCGGAAUUACUGGGCGUAAAGCGCGCGUAGGUGGUUCGUUAAGUUGGAUGUGAAAUCCCCGGGCUCAACCCGGGAACUGCGUCCGAUACUGGCAGGCUUGAAUCCGGGAGAGGGAUGCGGAAUUCCAGGUGUAGCGGUGAAAUGCGUAGAUAUCUGGAGGAACACCGGUGGCGAAGGCGGCAUCCUGGACCGGCAUUGACGCUGAGGCGCGAAAGCUAGGGGAGCAAACGGG
rnacentral:rRNA from 1 species